UUUUCAAUUUUCUAUAGUAAAACAAACUUUGAUUACAAUGAUUCAAAAACUGACAAACUUAAACAAAACUAACAGACAUUGAUGAAAAGACGAGAUACAAACUCGAACAUUAAACAACCCGCAUACUCUAAUAAGAAAAAUACAAACUCAAGAACCAACUGACAGAUUCUUUUCCCUAAGUGCCAAUUUUAACCAAAUGGCUAUUUUUGCAAACGUGGCACCUUCCCAAUUUCACCUGAAUUUUGAGGCCGGGGAGGAUUAUUAUAUGAAACUUCACAAACUUGUCCGUUCUUUUAUGAAAAUUUUCUUUCGACAACUAAAAGAUACUCUAAGGCUAUCACAGCAAGAACGGUUUAAAACGUCGUCGAAGCUGGAUCAGCUUAUUUUGACAAAAAUCCAAACGGUAUUCAGUUGACCAAUGACUCUUUUUAUUGUUUUUUUUUUAAAUUAAAAUAGAAGACUUGGUUUUGUAAAUG
rnacentral:lncRNA from 1 species